GACGAUGCGGGAGGAGAAGCGACGAUCGGAGAAUGGAGCGAGCGAGAAAGAGGGAGUGAUGUUUGAUUUAGCAAUUUCGCAACACUUAAGAUGGUAAUUAAUUUUUUCUUCUUCCUCCUGCCUCUGCUCUUGACCAGUCAAGAUGAGUGGUUAAAUGUAAGUUUUGUAACGACACCGUUUCUGAAACAUCCACUCAAUGAAUGAAUAGUAGAGAUUAAAGAAAAAGAGAUUUCACUUAAUAUGAAUAGUAGAUAUUAAAUGGAGAAUUCUAAUUUAACCAUAAAUUUGAUAUCACUUUCUAAAUAUAACUUAAAAGAUAUCUAUUUACAUAAAUACUUUAAAUUUGUUAUGAAAGAGGCUAUAUUAACUCUAAAUCAUUUAUAAAUGUUUAAGAUUCAUUUCUAAAAUAUUUAUAUAAAUUUAUAAAUCAAAUCCCACCCCCUAAAUACUAAACCAUAUAAACAAUAAUCAUUAAAGUCUAAACUCAAAUGCAAUAAUAUUUUUGAUUGAAAAUAAUAUUAAAAAUAUUAUCUAAAUUGUGGUAUUUAAAGUAAUUCUCAUACUAAGAAUUUUUUGUCAACUUACCAUCGUAUUAAAUCAAGUUUUAGCCAAAAGUAAAACUGUCUGGAAAAAUAACUCUUAACUAUGUUAAGGUAUGUUUGACUUGCAUGAAAAAAAAAAAACCAUCUCGUGCUCUAGCCUUCUUAAAUUUAUUUUUAUACUUCACAAGAUCGAGACAUGAGUACAUGACCUGAUAACACUAUAAUCACCUAUAGAUAAGUUGAGAAAUAUAAAACCAAGAUGAUGUCAGUCAAACAUGCUUCUUGAUAGGCACUGCACAUAUUGGCUCAGCUUUGUGCAAGGUAACACCGAAGGCCUCGCUCAUAUCAACAUUUUCAGGAAGGAUGCCGUUUUGAUACUUCCAGUCAAAGCCAUAGAGAAGAGCCGCAAGAACUAAAUGCACUAUCCUAAAUCCUAGUGGCAAUCCUGGGCAAAUUCUCCUUCCAGCUCCGAAUGGGAUUAGCUCAAAAUCAUUGCCUUUCACAUCGAUUUCUCUUCCCAAAAACCUCUCAGGCUUGAACUGAGUUGGAUUCUCCCACACGUUUGGGUCUCGUCCUAUAUAUCGCCCAUAGACUCACAAGAACCUUGUUCCAAACACACAACAAGGAGUAAUUACACAACAUAAAACCAACCAUAUAAAGUCAUUACUCAGUUUAGUUAUUGUGGAAAUCUUCAAAAUAGCAUUUUUCUAAGUUUAUAUCACAAAAAUAGCACUCAAAAACUAAAAUGACCAAAAUAUCACCUUUCUAAGUUUAUCUUUUGAAAAUUUUAAUUUUUUUAUUUUUCAAAAUUUGAAAUCUUAUCCCCAAAACCUCAUUUCUCAACUCUAAACCCUAAACCCUAAACCCUAAACCCUAAACCCUAAACUCUAAACCCUAAACCCUAAACCCUAAAUCCUAAAUCCUAAACCCCACCCUUUAACUCUAAACCCUAAGUUUGUGACUUUUGAUAAAACAUUAAGUGAUAUUUUUGUGACUUUUGACCUUGAGUGCUAGUUAGGGAACAAAAACUUGAUUUAAUGCUAUUUUUGUUUUUUUCUCUUAGUUAUUUCUGUUUUGUUUAAAUUAAAAAGCCUUACUAAUAUUUCCAAUAAUCUCACUCCAUUUUUCAUUAUAAGAAAAUAAAAACGAGAUUAUUCCAAAAAAUAAAAUAAUAAUUUUAUUUUUAAUUCAUUCUUCCACUUUUUACUUCAACAUCCACUUUUUACAUCAAACUGACAGAAAAUUUUGUUGGAGAAAUUCUCAACUCCACCAUUAAAAAUAGAGUAACACAUUAGAGAUUAUCAUGUUAUUUAUGGUUAAGUUCGUUUUUAUUUGUUAUACAUGGAAAAUGAAACAUGCAACGAGGAUACCUGAGUAUUCUUUGGAAUGAUGAACUCGAAAAUCCGGACAUCAUCAGACUCCGAUGUUCGAGGGAUGAGAAAAGGGGAAGGAGGAUGCAAACGAAGAGUCUCUUUCACUACUGCUUGUAAAUAAGGUAGUUCGAAGAUAUCCAAUUCUCGAACGGCGUCGUUUCGUCUUAUCACUUGUCUAAUCUCUUCUUGAGCUUUCACCAUCAUCUUUGGGUUUCGAAGUAGUUCUGCCAUAGCCCAUUCCACCGUACUCGAACUUGUGUCUGUUCCGGCCAAAAUCAAGUCCUAUCACACACACAUUAGAUGAAUUUAAUAAAAGGUCAUACAGAGAAGCCCAUUUGCUAACUAUAUAGUUUGAAAAUUAGGACUUACGAGAAGCAAAUGUUUGAUACCAUCAUCAUCGAGUUCUGACUCCUUUUCUUGAGAUAUGUCUAAAAGAGAGCUUAGCAUAUCAUUUUCCUUCUUUCUUGAAGCCUUUAAUGAUCUCUUUGUAUCGAUGAAUCUUUGGAAAACCCUAAACAGUUUGUUCAUACAUAGCCUCGCUUCUUUUUUAGUUCCUUGCAGAUCAAGAAACCCAAGAAACGGGAAAAAAUCUGCCGUGUUGGGUUUUCCAGCGAUCUCCAUCAUCCGAAGCACCACGUUUUGGAAGUCAUCCGUUGUCUCAGAGUCAUCAAAGCUGGCGAGAUUUGUGGAAAACAAAGCGUUAGAGAUUAUAUUGAGAGAUGUGAUGAAUGAUGCGCGAGCAAUGUUCACAGCUACACUUCUCUCGCUGCAUCUGUCAACAAAGCUCAUGAGUUCUUGCACUUUGCGCAUCCUUAAGUGCUUGGUUGCUUCUAAACUCCGCGUUGAGAAUAACUGUUGUGUCGUGAUCUUUCUUAGAAACCUGACUAUACACAAAAAAAACUAACCCUAACAAUUUAAUUUAUAAAUUUAUAAUCAGUGACCAAAAAAAAACAAUUUAAUUUAUAAAACCAAAAAGGUUAGAAAACGACUAUAUGGCCGGUCUUGGCAUAGGCCAGCAAAACAUUAGUCUAUAACUCUAAAAAAAUUGAAGAAAAUUAUAUAGACAUAAGUCCUAAGUUUGUUAAAAAAAAAUUAUAAAACAUUUACUAAAUUAACUAAAACUUCCAUUUUACCUCCAACGACCAAACGGAGGUAGCCAUGCAAAAGAACGCUCAUGGUGACCAGUGGCUCGAACCGGGUCAGUGGAGAUUCGGUAACACAAGACAUGGUCAUGUGUUUUCAGAACUUCUUUUGCUGCUUCAGGUGAUGAUAUGACCACUGUAGUCAACCAACCAAGCUUAAGAGUCAUUACGCUUCCGUAAAUCCUCGAGAGAUCGGCAAGUGAACGGUGAGGCUUUUCACCGAUUUGUAGGAUGUUACCAAGUAGAGUUAACCUUGGAGGACCCGUCGAGAUCUUGGCUCCUUCGAAGCCGGAACAUGUGAAAAGGAAGAAGAUGAAACAGAGUAGAAGCAGAGACAAGCUAAGAUAUCCAUCUCACGUUUCGUUAAACUUAAAAGAACACUAUUACGACGCAUUUAUAACGAUUUAACAUUGGGAGAUGUAACAGGUGUCAAUGUCCCUUCACCGAUUCUCUAGUAUUUUGUCGUGUAUAUGGUGAUGUGUUACACGUUGAAGUCAAGCAACGAGCAACGAGAGAUUCUUUAAUUUUCCCAUAUACCGUAUUGAUUGUCAUUUUGUUUAGGUGUCCCAUAAACAAUGAUUUGUGGUUUUGAAAGUGCCUUCUUUUGGUUGAACUGAAGUUGGUGAUUUUAAAAUAUACUAUACCGGUUAAUGCAAGUACACACCUCAAAUCUUUCUUUUUUUGAAUACUUGCAUUAACCGGUAUAGUAUAUUUUAAAAUCACCAACUUCAGUUCAACCAAAAGAAGGCAUUUUCAGAACCACAUUUGAUGCAUUGGCAAAUAUUUUUGUUAAUAAAAUGUAAGUAUACUUAGAACUUAUAUACUACUAUAUACUGAAGACUAUAUGACAUUUGUCAUUACUUUUGUUGCCAACUAGAUAAAAUGAAGAAAUUGAGAAUGAUAUAUAUAACAAUUAUACACUUGAUUUGGAGUUUUAGAAAGCCUCAAAAUGUAUAAAAUUGUUUUCCCCUUUAAUAAAUCCUUAUAAUAAUAUCAACUAAAUAUGAAAAUGUUCUUUUUUUGUUUCUGAUUUAUUUUCACUGUUGUCUGAGUAUUUUCCAACAUCUGUUCACCAGCGAAAUCUCGUCAAGUCAAUGUAAUCUGCCGAUUGAAGGAUGGAGAAAAAAGUAGAGAGAGAAAUAAAAUUUAAAUGUACAUCAAACCUCAUCCGUGGAGAUAAGGAUAGUAGGGCUCUUUGCAUUAACCACUUCAAAUUCAUAUGUAAAUCAAACUUUC
rnacentral:lncRNA from 1 species